ensembl:lncRNA
UAUGUAACAUGCAGUUGAAUUACGGUAGUCUGCUAUUAUUGUAAAUUGACAGCUUAAACUGUUUAUUUAUGACAUUGGCCGUUAAUUUACAAGCAAGGAAUGGAAAUUUAACUGUAUAUUACAUUUAUUAUGACACUGUAAGAUACCGUUAGAAAUGCACCGUAAAUUUACAGCAAUUUGUUACAGUGUUGCUUUGGCUUUAACCAGCACCUUACGGGUGGUUGAGCUGCUGUUCCUCGCGGUGCUGCUGGCAGGAUAACAUAUGUGUGGGGGAGAGAAAUCCAAUUGUUGAGAAUCAUUGUCAGCUGAGUUGGGGGGGGGGGCACAGCUUUUACUCAUGAUUUAUUACAGAAGCGCUGCCACAUUUGCCAAUAGGAAAACACUUCCAGGGGAGUUGUGUGAAUAUACAGAGAUGGAUGAGAAUAAAAAAUGAACAUUUCUGCUGCCCCCACGUUACAUUCUCCCCAGCCACUCCUUAUUUGCGGCCAGGAAAAGAAAACCAGCACCAGCUACACUUCAUUGAGACGAUCGGUCUUGCUCUCAUACGAGCUGUCUGCUGGAGAUACUAGAGCAUCACCUCCCUUGACAUUCUGAAAGGAAAUGCAGGUCCUUUUCAGAGUGAAUUCUUAUUCCAUGUGUUUUCAUCACGUCCCCAAAAGUCUGCUGUUAAAUCUGUCAGGCUCUGUAUCAGCUGUUCCCAGCUGUGUUUGAUGAGCUCUAUCUAUUCCCCCUACGGUAAACAAUCUACACAUCAGAUAUCACUAGAUGACGUCAAGAUGUCGCCGUGCAGAGGGCAUCCUCCUUACCAGAUACCCAAACCACCUCAACUGGCUCCUUUCCACUCC